rnacentral:lncRNA from 1 species
CUGCUCCCCUUCCCCUUAAUUCCGUAGCCUCAAAAUUUCGCCUUUUCACAGGAGCUGAGUCAGGAGAAAUUAAGUAAAUUCUGAAUAAAGACAAAUGGUAAAGAUGGCAGAAGAAUUGAGUCAAAUAAAGAUGUUAUUAGGUUCGGACAGAGCCACAGCUAGGCCUGAAUUCGUGUAGCUUUAGAUUAGGUCGGCAGAUCAAAUGAAACUACGUGCACUUGGAGAG